UUAGAGGUUAAACCCGAUGAACCUAAAUUAUAUAUCCAGUAUGAGAAAAAGUACGUGAACUGCAGUCAUUUUAAAAUUAUUUUAUAAUGUAUUAAUAGUGUGCAUUUUUUUCAUGUUAAUAAAAAGGACAUUGAGUAUGUAAUCUAAAGCAUAUAUUCUUUUAUAUAUUAUUUUUAUCAUAAAGAGUCAUGUAUAAGUUUACAUAUAAAUUACAAUUUAAUUAAUAUUAAUUGAUGUAAGAUCGAUGAAUUUCUAGAUAAAUAGUUAACAGUAUUAAAAUUAAUUUAUUAUAUAUUGGCAUACAUAAUUUUUUAUGUUUUAUAAUGCUAUAUUUAUAAAUAUGUACAUGUACAUAUAUAUGUUUUUGCAUUUUACUUAUAGAGUUAUUAACAAUGCAAUUUGC
rnacentral:rRNA from 1 species